CAUGGCUUUGGGUGUUGGUUUAGGAAGUUGUGUUAGGAACGUUUUGGUGGUGGAAUGUUGUAGAAGGAGCUGUGAUUAGGUUUGCUUGAGCAUAGAGUUAUGGAGAGGUGCAGUGGAGUAAAUGCUAGUUGGAGUGUUUAUUGAUAAGGGGUUGACGUUUCUAGUUUGAUUGCUGAGUGAGCUUGACUUUAAUGCAACUGAAGGGUAUGUUAGAGGGGAUGGAUGUCAUUAGGAUGCAUCGUGUGAAGACAGUGACUUUAGGCUUAGAAAAAGCAAACAUUCAUUCAAUCUGACUCAUUGUUCAGCUUUUCUUUCCCGCAAGUCUAGUGGCGACUUCGUUUUCAAGACUUCCUAUGGGCCAAUAACCACCGUUGAUCCUGGUAAUUCAGUAUUAAUUAUGCCAACAGAAACCCAAAAACCCACUGAAUCAUCUUAUCCUUGGCCCCAGUCCCCUGUUUUUUCCUAAAAACUAAUGUUUUAUUUCUAUAUUUUAGGAUAUUUAUAGAUUCUCUUGCCGUCUUCUCCUUAUUUUUUAUUUUUUAUUUUUCUAAAAUCUUAGUUUUCUCCGAGGUCUUGUUCAGCGUCGAUAGGCCCAAGGGGCCGAGAGUCUCGCCCUUUUUCUGCAGUUUUUACAGUUUGUGUUUGACACUUUGAAGGUUAGGUCUGAAUAACAGCUGUGGAUUGCCAGUUAACUAACUUUUGAAUCUAUUACAUAGCGACCAGACCAACCCAAACCCAACUCCCCUUCCCCUUCCCUUUCCUAUUUUCUUUGCUCUUUUCCCCGCCAAGGAAAAAUCCCAUGAUUUCAACCUGUUCUUUUUUCUUCACAUCUACUCUCUUUCUCGCUUGGUCCUAGUCAUGACAUUUUUGCCUUUAUUGGUUCGGUCUCUGGCGAGGCUGCUCACAGCACUGGUGUAUCAACCAGCAGCCUCCGUCUCUACCUUACUUUACUACAGCGAUCUCCUCCCAAGAAAUCUCGACUUGGAGCGCCUGGUGCGGACUGAAUUCCUCGAUCGAGAAAACUAUUUGUUUCAUUUCCUCAUCAACAUCUUGAGGUGUUUCUGAUUGGGCCUCAACUUUUAUGCAAUCAUAACCAUUGAUGGAGUAAUGAGUUGAUGAUAUACGCGCUGAGAACAGGGCAGAUCAAGCUCAAAUUGUGUGGGUUGAGAAUCUUGAGAUCGUCUUCUUUUUAGCAAUGUACAUUUGAUUGACUAAUCUCUAAACUAUUUAUGAAGGAACCGUCACUGAAUUUACUUUAAAGUAAGUAUUGCUUGAUUUAAAAGGGGAAAAAGCAUGAGAUAGGA